rnacentral:rRNA from 1 species
GAUGAACGCUGGCGGCGUGCCUAAUACAUGCAAGUCGAGCGAACGGACGAGAAGCUUGCUUUUCUGAUGUUAGCGGCGGACGGGUGAGUAACACGUGGAUAACCUACCUAUAAGACUGGGAUAACUUCGGGAAACCGGAGCUAAUACCGGAUAAUAUUUUGAACCGCAUGGUUCAAAAGUGAAAGACGGUCUUGCUGUCACUUAUAGAUGGAUCCGCGCUGCAUUAGCUAGUUGGUAAGGUAACGGCUUACCAAGGCAACGAUGCAUAGCCGACCUGAGAGGGUGACCGGCCACCCUGGACCUGAGCCACGGUCCAGACUCCUACGGGAGGCAGCAGUAGGGAAUCUUCCGCAAUGGGCGAAAGCCUGACGGAGCAACGCCGCGUGAGUGAUGAAGGUCUUCGGAUCGUAAAACUCUGUUAUUAGGGAAGAACAUAUGUGUAAGUAACUGUGCACAUCUUGACGGUACCAAAUCAGAAAGCCACGGCUAACUACGU